rnacentral:rRNA from 1 species
AGCGUGGAGGAUGACUGCCCUACGGGUUGUAAACUCCUUUUAUGCGGGAAUAAAGUCAGGCACGUGUGCCCGUUUGCAUGUACCGCAUGAAUAAGCAUCGGCUAACUCCGUGCCAGCAGCCGCGGUAAUACGGAGGAUGCAGGCGUUAUCCGGAUUUAUUGGGUUUAAAGGGAGCGCAGACGGGCCUUUAAGUCAGCUGUAAAAUCGCGCGGCUCAACCGCGUGCAGCAGUUGAAACUGGAGGCCUUGAGUGCGGUCGCGGCAGGCGGAACUCGUGGUGUAGCGGUGAAAUGCAUAGAUAUCACGAAGAACCCCGAUUGCGAAGGCAGCCUGCCAGUCCGUGACUGACGUUGAGGCUCGAAGGUGCGGGUAUCGAACAGGAUUAGAUACCCUGGUAGUCCGCACGGUAAACGAUGGGCGCUCGCCGUGGGCGAUAUACUGUCCGCGGCUUAGCGAAAGCGUUAAGCGCCCCACCUGGGGAGUACGCCGGCAACGGUGAAACUCAAAGGAAUUGACGGGGGCCCGCACAAGCGGAGGAACAUGUGGUUUAAUUCGAUGAUACGCGAGGAACCUUACCCGGGCUUGAAAUGUGCCUGAAUCGGUCCGAAAGGCCCGCGCCGCAAGGCAGGCAUGUAGGUGCUGCAUGGUUGUCGUCAGCUCGUGCCGUGAGGUGUCGGCUUAAGUGCCAUAACGAGCGCACCCCCUUCCGGCAGUUGCCAUCAGGUGAUGCUGGGUACUCUGCCGGUACUGCCAUCGUAAGAUGCGAGGAAGGUGGGGAUGACGUCAAAUCAGCACGGCCCUUACGUCCGGGGCUACACACGUGUUACAAUGGGGGGUACAGAGGGCAGCCAGCCGGCGACGGCGCGCGAAUCCCGAAAUCCCCUCCCAGUUCGGACUGGAGCCUGCAACCCGGCUCCACGAAGCUGGAUUCGCUAGUAAUCGCGCAUCAGCCAUGGCGCGGUGAAUACGUUCCCGGGCCUUGUACACACCGCCCGUCAAGCCAUGAAAGCCUGAAGUGCCUGAAGUGCGUGUCCGCGAGGGUCGCCCUAGGGUAAGUCCGGUGAUUGGGGCUAAGUCGUAACAAGGUAGCCGUACCGGAAGGUGCGGCUG